GGGGUGCUCGAGUGGCGAACGGGUGAGUAACACGUGAGUAACCUGCCCUUGACUUUGGGAUAACUUCAGGAAACUGGGGCUAAUACCGGAUAGGAGCUCCUGCUGCAUGGUGAGGGUUGGAAAGUUUCGGCGGUUGGGGAUGGACUCGCGGCUUAUCAGCUUGUUGGUGGGGUAGUGGCUUACCAAGGCUUUGACGGGUAGCCGGCCUGAGAGGGUGACCGGCCACAUUGGGACUGAGAUACGGCCCAG
rnacentral:rRNA from 1 species